AUUGAACGCUGGCGGCAGGCUUAACACAUGCAAGUCGAGCGGAGAUGAGGUGCUUGCACCUUAUCUUAGCGGCGGACGGGUGAGUAAUGCUUAGGAAUCUGCCAUUUAGUGGGGGCCAACAUUCCGAAAGGAAUGCUAAUACCGCAUACGCCCUACGGGGGAACGCAGGGGAUCUUCGGACCUUGCGCUAAUAGAUGAGCCUAAGUCGGAUUAGCUAGUUGGUGGGGUAAAGGCCUACCAAGGCGACGAUCUGUAGCGGGUCUGAGAGGAUGAUCCGCCACACUGGGACUGAGACACGGCCCAGACUCCUACGGGAGGCAGCAGUGGGGAAUAUUGGACAAUGGGCGGAAGCCUGAUCCAGCCAUGCCGCGUGUGUGACGAAGGCCUUUUGGUUGUAAAGCACUUUAAGCGAGGAGGAGGCUACUUGGAUUAAUACUCUAGGAUAGUGGACGUUACUCGCAGAAUAAGCACCGGCUAACUCUGUGCCAGCAGCCGCCGUAACAC
rnacentral:rRNA from 1 species